rnacentral:rRNA from 1 species
UACGUAGGGUGCAAGCGUUAAUCGGAAUUACUGGGCGUAAAGCGUGCGCAGGCGGUUAUGCAAGACAGAUGUGAAAUCCCCGGGCUCAACCUGGGAACUGCAUUUGUGACUGUAUAGCUAGAGUACGGUAGAGGGGGAUGGAAUUCCGCGUGUAGCAGUGAAAUGCGUAGAUAUGCGGAGGAACACCGAUGGCGAAGGCAAUCCCCUGGACCUGUACUGACGCUCAUGCACGAAAGCGUGGGGAGCGAACAGG